UACGUAGGGUGCGAGCGUUGUCCGGAAUUAUUGGGCGUAAAGAGCUCGUAGGCGGUGUGUCGCGUCGGCCGUGAAAACCUGGGGCUCAACUCUGGGCGUGCGGUCGAUACGGGCAUCACUUGAGUUCGGCAGGGGAGACUGGAAUUCCUGGUGUAGCGGUGAAAUGCGCAGAUAUCAGGAGGAACACCGAUGGCGAAGGCAGGUCUCUGGGCUGUAACUGACGCUGAGGAGCGAAAGCAUGGGGAGCGAACAGG
rnacentral:rRNA from 1 species